rnacentral:ncRNA from 1 species
UGGCUUGUGGCGGCCAAGCGUUCAUAGCGACGUUAAACUCCUAAUCCUUCGAUGUCGGCUCUUCCUAUCAUUGUGAAGCAGAAUUCACCAAGCGUUGGAUUGUUCACUAAUAAUAGGGAACGUGAGCUGGGUUUAGACCGUCGUGAGACAGGUU